UACGUAGGGUGCGAGCGUUGUCCGGAAUUAUUGGGCGUAAAGGGCUCGUAGGCGGUCUGUCGCGUCAGGAGUGAAAACUCGGGGCUUAACCCCGAGCCUGCUUCUGAUACGGGCAGACUAGAGGUAUGCAGGGGAGAACGGAAUUCCUGGUGUAGCGGUGAAAUGCGCAGAUAUCAGGAGGAACACCGGUGGCGAAGGCGGCGUUCUGGACUGCAACUGACACUGAAAAACGAAAGCCAGGGGAGCAAACGGG
rnacentral:rRNA from 1 species